rnacentral:lncRNA from 1 species
AGUGAGUGUGAAAAGCUUCAUGAGGCAGAGGGAGAAUGGCAUAAGUCUUUCGCUGUUGAGGUGCAGUUCUAAUGUAAUGAGGGAUUUCCAACCGGAGAUUGUAGAAAGACGGUAAGGGCUACCCAUUAGUACCGUGUACGUAGUUGUUAAGAUGAAGCUUCGUUUGGUGUUGAUUCUAGACUAGACUGGAAAUAACCCGAUGAAACUGACCUGCUUUCCUUUUCUUCAUCGGCUCUAUCUAAUCCAAUAUAUUUUGUGAAUGGUCUCGAAGGGGUAUGAAACCUUACCCAAGGCACGAAGUACUCUAAAACGGGUACCUGAGCACAAUACUGAAUAGGAAAGACCUUCCCGGGAUGUACCGAAAGAUGGAGAUGCUGCAUCGAGACAGUCAGACUACCGAGGAACCGCUACUCCAUACCACGCUGACCAAGACACGGCCGCGAGAGAGGAGGCAAAGCACGCGAUCAGCACUACGACUUCAGCUACCUGAUCAAAGUAUGAAAGCUGGAAUCGCGCCUAGUGUAUCCCAGCUAUAUAUCUAGUUUUGGCCACAUGGAUAUAAAGAAAAAAGCCUACACAAGACUUUGGGUUCACUUUGGCCCUCGUGGAAAGGACCUAUGUGAACGAGGCGAAUAGACUCAUUUGGAGGACUUAAGCAAACUUCAUCUUUUGGUCAAAACGACAGACUACAGACCCGCCUCGGUGCGGGAGCCGCUCGCACCCACUAGAGACUUUCAAUAAUAGUAUUGAUUACACCAGAUAUGGGGAGAAGUCUCCAUUUCUCCUCACGUCCCGUCUGUUGGCGGAAGGCACGGUCCAAGAGAAACUUCAACCUUCAGAGCUUUAUCCGCUAUCGAGACCGUUUUCUUUCCUCACUCUCCAGGUGAGAUAGCUGAGACGCCCUUAAUCGGCCGCCAAAGAUGUCGCUAGAUCGGGGAUCGGUUGAAGCUGCACUCUUGUUUUGCCUCGGUCUAGCCGCGUUUCGGAAAAUGUGACACUUUUUAGAAAAAGAUAAGCUUUUGGUCGACGUGUUGGAAGGGGCUCCCAUCCCAGAGUGUGAAAGCACUCGGGAGAAGGGAAUCGACAACACAACAGAAGCUGCCCUUUCUUUGGUUUGGUAAGAAGCUUCCUAAAGUAUGUCGAUUUGUGGUACGGUCAGUUCACUCGAAUCCACUGACUUCAUGCACGGGGACUCGACCAUCAAUCCUUUCUUGUGACGAGCUGUGACUGGGUGCUCUGAAACCGGCUUUUAAGGAGGGGCAGUGGGGUAAGGUAAUUGAAGUAACUAGCCAGUAUUAAGAUUAGGCAUAAGCAUAAUAAACUGAUGCAUCCGAAGACGCUGAAUCUAGAAUAGAGGCUGUUGGCUCGGGUGGGAAAGCAAAAGAAGCAAGAGAGCCUUUUUCCGGGAAGGAAGGGACGGGUCCUUUCUCGUGCCUAAUGCCUAAGCGGGAGCGCCUCUCUGUCUGCUACUUUUAACUAUUCCUCUAGCUGGACUUGAGGCUUUCCUCGAAACUAUUCCGAAGAAAAGAAUGAAAUUUCUAUGGAUAGGUUGUAAGCAUAUGAGAGAAAGGCGGAUAAAAGGCGGCGCUGACCCUAAAUAAAGUUCUUAAUCUUGCCCCAAGCAGGCUUUAGAAGGGUGUUUUUCGUGGAAGGUAGAAGCCUUUCGGGCUGAAUAGUGGCGGUGAGAGGGUGUAGUAAAGGAGGUGGGCUUAGAGCCAGCAAGCAAAGUAAGGCAAAGCUUUAUCGCGAAGAGGGCAGAUGAAUGAAUGGAAUGAUGAAAGAAGGCCGGUCGGUCUAAAGAUUUUUAAUAAGCCUUUUUCCUAGGGUUGACGGUUCCCGUUUCCGAUUCAUGUCUGGACCUUCCUGUAUCAAUCAAUACCGGGGCAGUUUCAGCAUCAUCCGAGGAAAGAGACACUUACACAGAAGUUGAAGCUAGGGCUACAGCUUUAGCAAGAAGGCUAUAGGCUUACUAAGAAAGCAAGCAUUGAAAGACGCGCACCUCGAGCAGAGCCCUAAGGGAGGACAAGGUUGGGGAAAGAUUUGACCAGCUGAACUAAGAGCGGUGAGCCCAUUCGGUCAUCCGGUCAAAGAUGCCCAGGUUGGGUUAACCUUAACAGCUAUUUGAAAGCCCAUACUCGCUUAUGCCACGAACCGCAAGCCUAGAGCUGCGCACACAAUCAGGCAGCGGAAGACCUGGUUAUAUACUACAGUUGUAGAUUAGAAUGUUAUGGUCGUUCAAGCCGUAAGAAGCAAGCUGUGGUCCCUAUUCCAUGCGCUGCCAGACACACGGACUUGGGUAUAGAAGGGAGCUAACCACGCUUACACUAAAUCACAUAAUUAAGGAAGGGAUUGGGAAUGCUCAAGCCCAAAACCUCCACUCCAAGCCAAAUCAGCCCUGCGCGAUUAAAGCUAUCUUUGGUAGAAUCUCGAAUCGAAGGCCUGGGUUAAGCAUUCCUGGAUUGAAUUUCACCUACCACUGGAAAUACCCCUCGAUGGUCAGAAUGCACCAUAUGGUUAUGCGUCCGUAGAUAUAUAAGACCCGCCAUAUUAGAGCGAAAUCAAUUUCCAUUUCAGUCCCAUGCAUCGUCCACAGAAUAAGACUACCAACGAAAGGAUUCAAUAUCCCACCACCUCAGACAACCUUACCUUACAUACGCUAAUUAUGUGUUCCAGUUCCGUACCGAUAAUCAGGAAUCAAGUUGUGGUAGCUGAUUCAUAUGCUUCAUCAGCUGAUUCUCCAAUUGCUGCAGAUUCGGCUUAAGCUUCUGAUUCUUCAUACGUUGGAUUGGGAAUUGAAACUAAACCCACUGCCCUAACCUUACCAACCUUUACCGACCCCACCCGCCUCCUUCUUUAGGGAACAAGUCCUUGGCAAAGAUGGUACCGAACCCGACCUAUCCGGAAGAAAUGAUCCCAUCGAUUCUAAUUCUCAAGCUGAAGCAUCAAAAAUGAGUACUUCUGAGAGAGCUACCUUCGCUGAUGACAAAGACAAAGGGGCAAGGAUCUCGUGGAAAUGUCCCACCAACAAAUAGAAAGAAGGUUAGCCCGAGAAAGCACCGUCGGUUUAGGUUCUUUUUCAUUGGCAUGUGAUAGGACGGGGUUGAGAAUUGGGCGGCCUGCCGUAUUCAAGAGCUUUGCCUUCUAUCUCCUCAUUGGCUAGUCCCAAAAACCCACCUGGCCAUCCUUCUUCGUAACAGGGACUAUGUUAGCAAGCCAAUCUGGAUAUUUUUCGACCUCUUCCUUUAUUUUCAACAUCCACUCGGGUCUCAAUCUCCUCAACUUCUGCUUUACGGGCUUGCUACCCGGGAAUCACUCGCCCUAAUGAUUAAAGAAGGAGAAGCUUAACAGACACUUAAUUGCUUCUUUAUCGACUUUAGUCCGAAGGUCACUCGUUGGAGGCAUCACAUACUACUCUUACUAGUCUCUUCCUAAGGUUACUCAAGGGAGGCAUCACAGACACUGACUUGUAUUUCUUCCCAGCUCUUAGUCCUGACUUGCCCUUAUUACGAAAGCGAAAGCCUACGCUAGCUUAAGAUAGGUCUGCGCUUCUUGCUUUAGUGGAUAGAGAAAGCGCUUCGCCAUAAGGAAAGGAAAGAAAUGGACUAAUUAUAGUAACGUUAGGAGAACACCCCUGCUGUCCCUUGCCUCUGCCUUCUUGUGUAUGCUUGGAAGCGGUAGGUUAGGGCAUCUCUCAUGAGAGCGAGCAGCUUUGCUUUGCUCGAGACCGGCUCUUCUGACAAAAAUCAAAACAUUGCUAUUGCUUGAGCUCUAGCUCGAGUGUGAGUUUCACAGCAAAGCUAAAGCUCUGAGUAAAGUAUGAGUUCUAGCUUGGGCUUUUGCACCAGCUCUAGCUCUGGGCUCUAGUUUGAAAAGCUCUUGCUUGGGCGAACAGCCCUAAUCUUUUUUCCUUAUACCCCUCCCCUUUCCAGUUCGUCUAUUUUGCGACGGGUCAACUUCACUCGGUUGGGCGUGGUAGUUAGCGCGAGUUUUCCUUUCAAUCUACUUCCGCAGAGCCAGGUUCCAUCCUGGCUGACCCUGCCUCUCACUUUCUUGUUAAUGAGUUUCUUUGUCAGUCAGCCCCCCAAGUGAUUCCGGCUUUCUUGAUUCCAGGAUCCCUAAUCGUAAACCAGUGAGGUGGGGUGGAGUCGUGCCGUGGGUCAACCUGUGGUGCGUUCCCUACUUCGGCGGACCGCACUUCAACCAACAGAAAGGGCCCGCCUUCUAUUCAAAAGGCGAGCAUCUGGUCUUUCGGUUCGAUCCAUAUUCCGCUCCAUUGAUGAAAGGGUCGGUCCCCCUAUCAAUUCUCAAUCUAUUAAGGGAUGUCGGUGAAGUAGUCGACCAGUUGUACGGUCUGAAGGAAGCAGACAUCUGGAGAGACUGUUCGACAUUAAGACAUUAAGGGGUCCAAAAACGAUGAAGAAAAUCGGGUUCAUUCCUAUUUCAUGUCUGGUUUAGACGGUCGAUGCGAAUGUCCUGCAACGUUCGAUGAAGCUUUGAAUAGAGCGCUCCGUUUGGAAGUAGAGGCGAAAGGCUGACUUUAUUAGAAACUGCAUGAGCAAUGUCUGGUCGCGUGACAGUAAGGUAGAUGAGGCCUCCAACGAGUCUCCGAAAAAAUGUGGGAUCCUUUUUUAGCAUGUGAAGAAUACUUCACUAUGAGCUCUAAGGAGUGUCGACCCUCCCCCUAUAGUAUAGUAAGUAGUAUGUGGCGGUAAAUCGAGCAAAUCAACUCAAGGGCUUCUGUUGGCUCAUGAUGUAUGUACCCACGAGAGGUUUCUAAAACCUCAAUACCGAUAAAGUACCUCAAGUCACCAAGAUCUUUCAUUCUGAACUGUUUCUGAAGGUGUGACUUAAGAGAUGAAAUUCCCAAGAUAUCAUCUCCUGGUUUCAUAAUGUUAUCAACAUAGACCAACAAAAUAACCAUACCAGAAGCCGUAUAACGAACAAACCAAGAAUGAUCACACGAGCUCUGUCUGAAUCCAGCUUCAUUCACCAUGGCCAUGAAGAAUUUAUCAAACCGACGCUCUGGGUGCUUGUUUGAGACCAUAUAAGGCUUUCUUCAAUCGGAAAAAAGGGAUGGAUCGGAAGUCUGAUAGGGCUUUAAGAGAUAGGGACUCCAGCGGUAAGAAAGACUCACUCAGUGAAUCGGUGGAUCACACACUUGGAGACAGGGACAGGGACACGCCUGACUAUUUCGAAAGUAGACAAGUGUUGAAAGAGUGAAGUCUGGGGACAACGGUAAACGUGAGGAAUGGGAUCUCCAAAGCUACCCGCCCUACUAAAGAAGUUCGCGAGCAAGGGACAUGCCGAACACCUACCUUUCCAACUAAGUCCAACGCGAGGACCCUUUCAUUGACGAUGCGUUCCGUCGUCAGCAAGCGGUGGCCGACAAGGCCCUUUUCCCUAACUAUUUUGGGAAGCGAAGAGGACAGAAACUCGUUCGGUAAUCUUCUCCCGAAGGUAGGCAUUUACCCAAGGCACUGAUAUUCUGAGUCUCUCGAUUAUACUUUUUAAAAUAGGGAGUUGAAGGUCUUAUUCUUAUGAGUGGCCUAUGUGAAUAUGAGCCAGGAGCAAGGAUUCCGGAAAGUGAAUAAUUCAAUAUUGAAAGUGAAAGUCGACGUUCCUGAUAUGAAAGUGAAAGUGGAGUGAAAUCCGGAUAUGAAGGUUCGACGUCCAGUUCCAAUCUGGAUAUAAAAGUGCUGUUCAAUCGUCGAAAGUUAUCUCUCUUUUGUUGUUCUCUUUUAGUCCGGUUUUCUUUUUUCUCUUUCUUUUGAGUCGGGUUCUUAAGACAGGACAGGAAAUCGGGUUUUCUGAAUAUCUCUCUUCCGGCCUAUAAAGUAAGUUAGUUCGAGAUCGAAAGAGUCCCUGAGAGAGACUAGACUUCUAGUAACAGUAGGUGCGCCUUCAGUUGAGGAGAGCUGUUCACAAGCAGUGGUUAUGAGCUCUUUCUUGUUCCGGUUCAGAAUAGGUAAUUCCUUCACUUCAGUUGCACUAGUGGAUUGAAUAACCUUUUCUUUAGUUCCAACAAAGUGCAUGUGUUGUUGGUUAAUAAAAACACGAGUUUCGAUAGGCUGGAGGACUGAUACUAUAAGUAGGACAAACAAACGCCUUAAAAGAGAAAUGAAAGGCAUUUUAGCAUUUUUCCACUUAUCCAAUUCUUGGCAUUUGUAUUUGAGAGAGAGAGAGCUAUGCUUAGGUCAGUUCCUUCAGUAAACUUAUUUGGUAAGUCAGAAGUUCACUUUAGGUAAGUAAGUAGUCCCGUAGAAAAUUCAUAAAACAUGCGCAGAUCUGGCACUUGAGGAGGUCAAUCUUUCAUGUUGGAAGCUACUGCUAAGGUACUCCCCCUCAUCUAUAAAGGAUAGGCAAUUGAGAGAGAAUAGGGCGAUAGCGAUAGACACAGGAACUGAAAUAGACUAAAAGAUGACUUCCGUAGAGGAGAGGGGAAACCCGCUUAGAUAGGGCGAUAGCCCGGUUUUUAUUGAAUAUCCUUUCCUGUGCUUGUCUUGUAUUGAGGUAUACCGAAGAUAUGAGUCAAAGUAGGUAACAGAAGGGGUAGUGAGGGAUUGCUUUUUUUUUAGCAAGCUUCAAAGAGUAGGGCUUUAAAGAGUAGGCGGUUCGUAUGUUUCUAUGACCCCCAAGACGGAGCGAGACGGAUACGCAGAGCAAGAGCUCUUAAAGUCUACCCGGGCGGGAUUCUUCAUUCUUCGAUCAGGGGCGGGCGCGGGCUUCUUCCCUUAUAUACGAUGACAUAGAUAGAGCCUCCUUCUUUGAUCCAUUCAUUGAUCGACUAUGAGGGGGCUGUUCGCCUUUUGAAUCGACAGUAGAGUAGGUUUGAUCUUGCUUUCUCAAUCUUUCUCUGAUCCUAGCCGUGUAGUAGAUCCGGCUUUAUUCGGCUAAAAAGAGGUGUGUGUGGCCGUCGUAUCUGCCCGCCCCCUUCUUCAUUCAUCCAUUUAGGUCAGAAUGGAUCCAGGGAACCUGGCUCGGGAACAGCCCAGACUAAUCACAGUAAGAGAGUCUAAUCUCUGAAAUAUAGCAUUUUAUCUCCCUAGUAGUAGUAGUAGAAGGCUUAGUAUCUGACUUGAUCCAAUAGAGUCAGAACACACAGUAAGUAGAUCCAGAUUCCACACGUUGCUGUGGACUGGGGAGAGAGCUGCUCUGCGAAGCUGGGCGUUCAGUGUGAUUAUGGAGGAACUGUCGUACUCGCCCCAAAAUGAAAGCCGGGAUAGGUACUUAAUGAAAGGGGGAGCGGUGGGCCUUCAAAAAGGAGCGAGGGAGUGAUGGGCAACCUUAGUCUAUAUGUUGCUCGUGAGCCGCCAAGUACCAGUCUCGCAACAGUACUGGCGUUAAAGGAUCGGUCCUUCACUUGCGGAUCGUUCGCGAGUCGAACUCGCUCUCUUGCCACGCCUUUCACUCAUUCACUUGAGUCGGACUCAAUCACUGCUGACUUUUUGGAGGAUCGUUCGUUCUUCACUCUCUUGCUAUUACCCGCAGGGAGCGCAGCAACCGACGGUGCAUAUUAUCAUAUAGAAACAAGCGAAGCGUAGCGAUUCGUACUACCGGAAAAGUGUCGCUAACCGGCAGGCAAUAGAGUCAGCUUACGGGGUGGGGCGCAAGCAAGCGUAGCGAAUCACAUAGAGUUGCCCCUACCUGCCAGCGCGCAGAUAGAUAGGGCGGGCGAAGCGCGAAGGGAUGGAUGUCUGAGCGGUUGAAAGAGUCGGUCUUGAAAACCGAAGUAUUGAUAGGAAUACCGGGGGUUCGAAUCCCUCUCCAUCCGCGAGGUCAUAAGUUCUCUCUUGCGUUAUCUAUAGAUAAGAACGAAUCGGAUCGACUCGACUGAUAUGAUGGAUGGAAUGGGUAGACGGUUGAGGUUAUUGUGUGUUGAUUUAGUUAGGACUUUGUCUCCCUUUCGUUAUCUUCCGCCCCGGGUGGAUUACCUGUGGGAGCUAAGUCGAAGAUCUCGGUUGUCGUCGUGAGUGGUUGAUAAACUGCGAUUGCAGUUUGAUUUAGGAAGUCCCAACGCUGUGAGGCUUAACAGACAAAGAAAACGAUAGAGACUUCCGGGUAUAGGGUGACGACCCUAAUGAAUCAACUAUGAAGGUGGCAGAGUUAUUAGCUACAUAAGCGCUCGACAUUCCUUCAUCGUUAUUGCCCUGCCUUCUAUGAUCAACCCCUGGCACAUUUAGGUUUUGAUCUGAGGCCAUCCUGGUCUGCAGGACCCAACACAAGUAUUCAUCCUUUUAAAGAUGAAAAAGGUGUUGCCGAAAGCUUACCCUCUUCCACACGGAUGCUACAGCCGCUAUCACUUUAGCUGCUGGAGGGGAAUGGAAGAGUUCGCCUCUCGACAUCUUGUUUGGUAAACGGGAUUUUGACCCAGGCGCCGUAGUGUUGCCUAACCGUUCGGCCGGAGAUGUCGGAUGCGAGAUCUUUAGCUACUUGUAUCGAUUUGCCACAGUGUGGUUAGAUACAAUGCGCUGGCAGGAUGGGAGUUAAUUAAGGUCGAGGGAGCAGGGAAGAGUUUGUUAUUCGCUAUUGGCUUGGUACGGCCUAUACAACAUUGGGCCAUGACGGUUUUGGCAAGGUCUUGAAUGGAUGGUACCUAUAACCAGACCCAACUGUUGCAGUACUUUAGAGGAAAGAGAAAAUUCUUCUCUUUUGAAAGGCUGCUACUUCAGCUGCCUGAGCUAACCCAACAGCAAGCCGAGCAGCUAGAAAUGCCUGAGCUGUUUACAAUGUUGUUGCCGAGCGUCAACAUGGACAAGAAUUUCCUGAGCAAGUGGAGGCUAAAGAAGUCAGUGUUGUUGGCUGAGCCGUAUCUUGCUACCUCCAAUCCCUCAUUAGGAAUUAUUGCUACCCACUGCUACUGUUUAUGCUUAUGCUACCAUUGGUGCCUCUGCUUCCCGUGCUUCUUCAACAGGCAGAUUGCUUGAGUUGUUAGCCCUUGUGUGGAAUCAAACUCCCGAUAGCCUGACAGGUUUGCCUUAUUUUCUUUCUGGGGAAUGCGUCGACUCUAAAAUCGGGUUAUGGCGAGUCCUAUCUCAAUCUUUUCCUCACAAGGCCUAUAUAAAUCUCUCUAUCCCGGUCCCGGCUUUGGCUAAUAAAGCGAAUGCUUAUCUUUCCAACUUGUUAGGAGUAGGGGCUUUCAACUUCUUCCCGUCGGAAUCUCCGCUCAGUAUAAAAAAAAUAUUAUUCGGCUGGCUUUCCACCUUUCUAUUCACGAAGCUAUUACACAAUCAAAGCCGAAUGAGCGAAGAAAAUGUUUUUUUUUUCAUCGGGCCAGAGAAAGCAAUUUCUUUCUCUAUAAGCUUCAAUGGUGCGAAGGGGAGCGAGCAGAAGAAAGGGCCUUUUUUUAUUCUAUUCUAUCGAUUGGUUUUCAGCAGAGUGGGCCUACCUAUUCCAUCUUUCUUUUUUCUUUGCGUAGGGCCUUUUAGCUAGCAGGCUUAGAGAAAGGGGUGACUUCAUUUUCCCUUUCGGGUAGCGCGAGUGAAAAUGCCAGCUUCAGAACAAGGGACAGAGAAGGCACAUGUUAAAGUGCCAGUUGAGUUAAAGCUUUUCGUAUCGGGAACAAGGCUAGACAACAUAAUCUAGUGUGCAACUUUUUGAUUGCUAUUGUGCUUUUUCUUUCGGUACCACUUCAACCACAAUCAAGAUAAGUGAACGAUGUCCCUGCCAAACCAACCCAGAAUAAGAAGGCAGAUUAGUAGGCGAACUGGAACUCGAACGUCGAACCAGAACUAGAAGAUGCGCUUGAGCAGUAAAGAAGCGGUCAAAGGAAGAGGAAAAGGUAUUCCAUUCCUGUGUUUACGGGGGCUGUGUUUCAAAAAUGAAAAGAGUUUGACGCGUUUAUCCGAAUGAGAGUUCAACGAUCCUUUGAUGGAGACCACUUACCUGUGAAGCCUUUAGCUAAGACUCGGUAGUCCAACCUGCCACAGUCCAAUAGCUGUUAGUAGCCAAUAAGCAAGGAUUUUCCUAUCUGAGAAUUCAAAGUCAAAGGGGGUCCACCACUAUUCAGUGCAGAAAGAAGGACUUUCUCUGCGACUCUGAGCUCGAAAAGAAUAACUUUAUCUCAUUAAAGAAUGGUUUCCCAUACUUAACUUGUAUGUUCUCCAUGAAUCGGGCUUGACAGCAAGGGGCAGCCUAAUAAGAAAGGGUAAGAAAGGGAAGGAAGACCUUUUUUAGGUUCAGCAAGGGGGGGCUGUUCGCCUUAACUACUUAAGUACCAAAGGCUGCUUUCGGUUUCAUAAGAGGAGGAACCAAAUUACAGAGAAGGAAGGAUGUUGACGGCCAGCUAUUGAAUGAGGUAUUUUCACUCGAAAUCCCCCUCUCCAAGAAACUGAUAAACUCGGAGUUUAGUUGCCCUUAAACAUAAGAACACAGGUGGGAACUCCUAAGAAGGCCCGGGAACUUACCGAUGUUUCAAAAAAAGAAACGUCAGGCUUAUCGAACUCAAAAGUGGCUAUGUGAGAUUCGACGUUUACCGAUCGAAGCCUUAUACUGUAAAAUAAAUACUAUUAGAGAGCUUGCCGCAGACUCAUAGGUAUCCACCUUCCUCACAAGCCAGAGAACGGGACUCCAUUUCCCCCAAACCCUUCUCUCCUAACUUCCCUCUGAACGGGAAACAUUCUUACCGCGCCUGUAAGCUAGAGUCUUCUCCUCCUUCUGAGUAAAACAUAUCCCAUUUUUUUUUGAAGAUAGAUUUUCGGAGGAUUAAUCGACGGUUUGCUCUGUGAAGAUAGAUUGACCUCCUUCUUCUGACCCGGCCUCUUCUUUUUCCUCCCGGAUAGGUGCUUUUCCUUUUUCUUUUGACGAAACCGGUUGAGGUUCUGAGGGCUCCCCGAGUUCCGCUUUUCCGGCUUCUCUCGCUGUUUCGGGAAGCUGUUCCACCGGUUGAGUGAGAGUCGAGGUGGGGAAGAUCGGUUAUUCCUUCAUCCCAGAAUGCAUCUAAGAUUGCAUCUACAGUUGGUUGAGUUUCUGUGCCCGGAUGAUCCGGCACUCUUCUUGCUUCGUCUGGCUGAUCCGGCUCAGUGAUCAUUUCGUCUGGUUGUACCGGAACUCUUGUUUCCUCGCUUGACCUGCACCCGCUAACCGACAACUGAGUUUAGUCAGCUCAACAGUAAUAUUCAUCCCCUUUCACAGAAUCGUUAGGGUGUUAAACACAAUCAUUCGAAAGUGCCGAAAAGAUAGAAUUGACUCUGAUCCGCUUACCCUUAGAGCAACAAAAGAAGGAGUUGCCCUAUAAACCGCCCGACGAACUGUGCUAUGGCUGUGGAAACUGACCUGCUUCACUUUAGAGCUAGCUUCCCGCUUGAAGGAGCGCUUGAACGGAACUGGACUGCCCUAAACCGCUUACUGAAAGGAAAUUCUCUACGACCACCGCUCGUCUACUGACUUGCCUAGCUGCCGAAAGCGGAAGCUGGAAGCUACAAGCAGAAAGCUCCAAGCUACUUCACAACUAGUCGCGGCUGUACCCGACAAGAGAUUCUUUCUACGAUUCCCGAGAGCCGGUACCGAACUAUCCGAAAGCCCUCUCUAAGCCCUCUAAAAGGCUUAAGAAGAAGGAUUGGAUGAUCUGCAGAAUGAGCAACUCAACUGCUUGAUUCGAUGAAGAUGGGUACGAUAUCACAGACGUGGAUUGCCUUUCGCGCGAGAACGGGUGGAUGGGAGGGUCACUGGGUUCAUACAUGUUGGCUCCUUCCAUCCGAAUUGGUUUUUAGGGUCCCUUUUUUUACUCCAAACAAGGUGGAUCGAGCGCGAGUGAUUCAGAGUCACCCCUAAAAAAUCCAUCUCCACGUCUGACGAAUCCGGGGGUCAAGCUACAACCUGUGGAUCGUCAAAAAGGUCGUUUUCCUGCUUGCAGAAAGCACAAUUGACGUGAAAGGGCUUGCUUGAACAAGGCUUUCAGUUAUUUGCCUUUUUGAGUACCGACCAAGCCCGAAAGACGGAAAGGAACACGGGUCAGCUUGCCACCCGAAGCAGCAGAAAGAUUCUCUCUGCGGUGCUUUCACUGGACUUGCUUCCCAAGAGAAAAACUCUAAAUCUACCGUACGCCCGUAACCGCUACAGCAAAUACAGCCUUUACGCCUACUCGCUUACCGAAAGCAAGAGCAAGGGAAGAUUUCUUUAUCCACUUGAACGGUGCGAGCGGAAAGAGCGAGCCACAAAAGCAAUCUCAGGCAGGAACCUCACUCGUCUAUUGAAAAGAAUAAGAACUGGUCUCUUUGUUGGCUUGUCAGGAUCGUCAUAAGAGUCAGUAGAAGUAGGAAUCAGAAUUUGAAACAACCAAGCAAAAAACCAAUCUACACCGGAACAAGACAUCUUUCAAGAAAGCAAUAGUGUAGUAGGCUCGUUAAGUCUAAAGUGCAGUAAGGAUUGGAUUCCAACUAAGAAAGUGGAAGUCAGCGGCUAUUCGUCCUUAUGGCCCAUAGUCUAUAGUCUACUAUUUCAUACUCUUUGGCUCAGGCAAGGACGCGGGUUCGGUACGAAAGUAAUCGGAAGAAGAGUAUUCGGCAUACAAUACAAGCAGGAACAGCAACCAGCGAGCGUAGUCAGACGGAGCAAGCCAGGUCUUACAGAACCACGGGUUGAAUGAAUGCUGCUCGCCACUUUGGAAAGCCAGAAUAAUAGGUUUCGGAGUAUUGGCUUAGGAGUGUGAGCAGGAAAAAAAGCAAGCUGGAAUUGGUAGUCGCUGUGGAUAUAAUAUAGGCAUCGGCACCGAAAGGAACAAGCAAGAGUCACUUCAAUCGCUACAAGCAAGAGGAAGAGGCAGGAAUGGAUAGUUCUUUAGAAAAGGUACACAAGCAAUCACCACAGGAACCGGUAUAUAUGAGUAAUCGUAAUGCACGCAAUCAAAGGAACCGUAAACUGGAUCUCCUUCGCUUCGUCCCCUCCACCGAAACAGCUUUCAAUCGGGAAAGGAAGCCACCCGGCCCGCCUGCCAUCAGUAAUAGGAAAGCUUUCAAUCAAUAGAAAUCGUAUUCGUGAAUAAAUCCCUUUUGUUUGAAUCCCAUGGUAUGGACUUUUUUCAGUAGCAGGACUCUCUUCUGUCCGUUUGAACUCUUGAGCAGGAGCUUCCGCAGGAGAACGGAAUAGGCAUCCAUUAGCUCUGUCCCUUCGCACGACAUCUAUGAAAGCAGCAGUGGGCGAACCGGCGGUGAACAGGAAGAGGGAGGACCACCCGAUCGCUAGGAAGAAGCAAGCCUAUUCCCCGCAGAUGUCAUUGCUCACUAGCUCCUUUCGUCCUUUCCAACGCACCAUCAACAAAAAGAGGAAUGAUGAAUAAGAUGGACUACUAGAGCCACGGUAGCGAGCCAUAAGCGAGCCUUGUCGUAGUAUUAGGAGCGAUGGAGCUUGCCCAGUGAAAGGAAUACGUAGCGAGUCACGGGAAUAAUAGAAAAGCACUCUUCGGGGCUCACUAUCGCCUCUAUUACAUAACCUUUCUCUGGUCUACUCUCCCUCCGAGAUGGUCACUCAACCUAUUGAAGAGCCUGGCUUAGGUCGAAAGGGCUUCCCAGCAGAAGCAACUUCGCCCUUCCCCUUUCUCUUGAAUGAAGAGUACAAAGGCUCUUCGUGGCUGGACACGGGAAAAGGCAUAUUCAUUGCGGAUUGACCAAAGAAGUCAUUUCCAUGGUGAUUUUCGCCCUUUCCCGAGGCCAUUCUGAACGUUUAGUUUGAUAGAAAUACCGGAAGCUUUGCUCCUUGGCAGGCUAGACUUAUUUCAGACCUUUUGAUGUGCCUCUUUCGGUUGCUUUCUAGCUUUACCGAAUGAAGUUAGUCACCUUCCUUUUCUGUUUCCGCUUUCAGACAAGUAGCUAAGUCGUCUUAAUCCAGCGACGAAAACUCCUGCGCUAGGAGAAGCGCUCAAUCCCGUCGCUUCGUCGCUCAGUCCGUUGCUUCUUCCCUCCUCUUCUUCCUUUCCGGCUCUUUAUACCAAUGUGAUUUAAUUCCAGGUGCAUAUUUGAAUUACGUCUUCCCUGAUUCUGGUUUAGAUCCAGAGGUAGCACCGGUCCAUCAAUAGCAGCAUCCCUUCCUCUCGCACCUGGUCUAGUGGCAUACCUUGAAGUUACAUAUACUGCUCCAGAUGCCAGUGGACUCGUCGAUCAACCAGUGAAGAGAAUAGAAGCAUAGGUAUAGGCAAAGGUGGGAGGGAUGAGAGAGCAAGCUGGCGUGGGGGCAAAGGAUUGAAUUGAAUACCUAGGGAGAGUGAAGUACCAUUCCAUAGCUUGAUCAGUAAGGCUCCUUGGGAAUAGUCUGAUCAUAAGACUAUCAUCAUGAACCACUUCAGCACAUUAGGCGGGUGGGCAUAAAAGGAUUUCACGUGCGUAAGGGGAUCCCCCUUUUCGCUAUGUAGGUUCAACUACCUUUUGGGCCCUCUCAUUCCUUCCAAAUCUAAGGAUCAUAGGGUUGAGGACCUCUUCAUACGAAUCUUUCUAUUUCCUCUUAAUGCUUCGAGCCACUGUCUCUUGAAGCCUUUGUAGCUGUUCCUGGACUUUGGCUAGGUUCACCAAGUGGAUUUUGAAAGAAAGGUUGUUGGCAAAAGCCUGGGUUAGGUGUGAAAGGUAUUCGGUUGCCACCAGCUCUUAAGUACACCCAUUGGCAUUGACUGCAUGGGAUCGAAAGACUUCCGGUUUCGUGAACGUGUCCAUAACUUUAUCAUGAUCUGAUUUGGAUGAAUACACGGGAAGCCCAGAGACCUCAUUUGGCAUUGUGCGGCUUCCUUAAUUGCACUAGCGCACUCAGGUGAGCAGCAAGCCGUUGGUUGAACCAAUAGGGGCUCUGGCAGAAGGUACCACCAGACACCCAAUCCCAGCAGAAGACAUGUUAGUAGGACGAAUCGGCUGUCUUUGACGUAGGCGAAGGCCAUUGCCUCUGAUAAGCCGAAUGUCCUUGUACGACUACUUUUUCUUGUGGCGUCCGCUAAUCCAAUAACGUAAUCCGGGGAUCUAAGUAGGGUGGCUUUGUUGCCUCUAUUUUGAUCUAUUGCCGAAGCAAAAUGAAAGGGCAACUGGCUGAUCCCGGUGGCAAGCGGUUUCCAUAAGGAGAAUGGUUGGAGUUCUACUUUUUUGAGCGAAAUCUGUCUUUCCGACGUUUGAUUUUCUUUUCUUUAUUCUAGCUUGGAAAUCGGGUUGAUCCAUUGUCGCGAUAGAUGACUACCGGAAAUCCCUGCCUUGAUCGUUUUCGGAAAGCGCCUUCCCCUUUUUGGUUGGUUUAAGGGGCGAGAGGGGGCGUGGAACUACUACUACGAUUCUCAUUAUUCUCAUUUCGCUUUAUACUAAAAAGAGGAACACGGAAAAAGGUUGAUUAGAAACAAAUUGUGCAAAGAGGCGAUGCAUGACUCCAGCAUAAAAAAAAUGACAUUAAUCCCGGAGCUGUGUGAUUGAGACAGCUCUAAGAUCUUGUUCGUAGUUUCCGUUUAAAAAGUUGUACUCAGUGCUUUCGCUGAGAAAUGUUUGGGAGAAGGAUAGUGCACCAUUAGUUGAACCAUCUCUCUCGGAUCUCUCGGAAAGCCUUUGGGUUGUGGGGCUAUUGUUUCCUUGAGGCAUGGUUUGAGCCCUGGUGCGGAGCUCGGUAGUAGUCUGACUUCGGGAAGAGAACGGUCGGAAAGCACCAAGCAAGGAAAGCACUCAGCUAAAAGCAUAACAGCAAUCCCAGCCCGCAACAGCAAGAAAAGCAGUCCCUACUGCCGCGUCAAGCUAGGCCUGAAACCUCCAAAAGAGAAAAGGAAAGCGCUGUUAACAGCAGGAAGAGCAGUCCGUACCGCAAGCCGUACGUUCAGCGAUUAUUAUACGCAAAAAGCGGAUAACGCAAGAAAUGAUUGCUUAAUUACAAUGAAUAUAGUCCCUAAAGACGAGACGGAGUCCCCAAGGACAGCUUUCUUUAUAGAAGAUGCUGCUAGCGCAUUGUACUGGCCGUAGGGGACUCAAGCCCUCGUCGAUUGAGAGGAAUAAGCCCCUCGCCUCACUCGUCAACUGUUAUCAUGACCUCUCUCAUUUCUAAGGGGCAAGGCUCACCGAGAUGAGAAAAGGCUGUCCAGAUACAGAGGCGGAGACUAGCUUUCGAGCUUUCUACUCCCAGGCUUCCGUCUAAGAACAGGGGGUGGGGUCGAUUUCAUCGAAAUGAACUGAAAUGUAAAGAGGCAAACAUUUCUUUCCGACCAAACCGCUCAGAAGGCGCUUGAACCCGCUUGGAUCACAGCUAGACAGAUAGAAGCGGGGCGGAGAGCAAUGACACGAUAUGCGCGUCGUGGUGGAAAAAUAUGGGUACGUAUAUUUCCCGACAAACCUGUUACAGUAAGACCUAAGGAAAGACGUAUGGGUUCGGGAAAGGGAUCCCCCGAAUAUUGGGUAUCUGUUGUUAAACCGGGUCGAAUACUUUAUGAAAUGGGCGGAGUAUCAGAAACUAUAGCCAGAGCAGCUAUUUCAAUAGCUGCGUGCAAAAUGCCUAUACGAACUCAAUUUGUUAUUUCACGAUAGGGAUGUAGAACUAAACAAAAGGGAUAUUGAGGAUGAAAAAACAACCGCAGGUUUAUUCUGGACGGACAAUAUUUCUUUUUUUCCUUCAUCCUUUGCAUUGAAAUAACAGAUUCAAAUAAAAAAAAGUUGAUUCAACCUCAGACCCUUUUGAAUGUAGCGGAUAACAGCGGAGCUCGAGAAUUGAUGUGUAUUCGAAUCAUAGGAGCUGGUAAUCACCGAUAUGCUCAUAUUGGUGACGUUAUUGUUGCUGUAAUCAAAGAAGCAGUGCCCAAUAUGCCUCUAGAAAGAUCAGAAGUAAUUAGAGCUGAAAUUAUACGUACAUGUAAAGAACUCAAACGUGACAACGGUAUGAUAAUACGAUAUAAAACCAAUGCUGCGGUCGUCAUUGAUCAAGAAGGAAAUCCAAAAGGAACUCGAGUUUUUGGUGCGAUCGCUCGGGAAUUGAGACAGUUGAAUUUGACUAAAAUAGUCUCAUUAGCUCCCGAGGUAUUAUAAAUAAUAGUAGUAGAGACUAUGAUAUAGUAGGCUAUCUGAAAUAGAUCAAAUUAAUAGAUUGUGUCUCACGCAUAUACUUUAAAAAAUGGAAUAAUAAAAAAAAAAAAACAAAGAAAAAGAAAAAAGGAAACAUGUUGAUUAUAUCCAAAUUUUUUGGCAAAAAAAAUGAUAGUUCGUUAUGGGUAGGGACACUAUUGCCGAUAUAAUAACUUCUAUAAGAAAUGCUGACAUGAAUAAAAAAGGAAGGGUUCGAAUAGCAUCUACUAAUAUCACCGAAAACUUUGUUAAAAUACUUCUACGAGAAGGUUUUAUUGAAAAUGUUCGGAAACAUCAGGAAAAUAACAAAUAUUUCUUGGUUUCAACCCUGCGACAUAGAAAGACUAGGAAAGGAAUAUAUAGAACCGUUUUAAAGUGUAUCAGCCGACCCGGUUUACGAAUUUAUUCCAACUAUCAACGAAUUCCUAAGAUUUUAGGUGGAAUGGGAAUUGUAAUUCUUUCUACUUCUCGAGGUAUAAUGACAGAUCGAGAAGCUCGACUAGAAAGAAUUGGAGGAUCCAUUUGUUUAUAUAUAUUGUGAUCCUCCUCCUCUGGUAUCCUAAUUUUAUCUCUAACUUCCCAUUUGUGAAAUAGAGAGGAAAAGUGAGUUAUAUACCUCUUCCUUCAUUAGUUGAUACUUCAAGGGGGUUACCUGGAAUGAAAGAACAAAAAUUGAUUCAUGAAGGUUUAAUUACUGAAUCACUUCCCAACGGUAUGUUCCGGGUCCGUUUAGAUAAUGAAGAUCUAAUUCUAGGUUAUGCUUCAGGGAGGAUCCGGCGCAGUUUUAUACGGAUACUACCAGGAGAUAGAGUCAAAAUUGAAGUAAGUCGUUAUGAUUCAACCAGAGGACGUAUAAUUUAUAGACUUCGCAACAAAGAUUCGAACGAUUAGGUGAUUUUUGAAACAUUCCUUUCAUUGGUAAAUAAUAUCGGAGGGGUGGGUGAUCCCGAUUCGAUCAUCGGAUGGGCUGUCUAUUUCACCAGAAUAGUCAUCUUCCUCGCAAGCAAGUCAAGGUCAAUCAAAGAAACCAAGAAAGACGCUACUCAACACCAUUUGACACUCAAAAAGAAAGCCUAUAAACAUUAGGGAAUACAACGCACGGAGUUCUCACGUCAAGGAGUAGAUAAGCAGACACUGUGAAAAAGCCGUGUGCACGAGGCAAGCAUAUGACACCAACCAAAAUCUUUCGGAAUCAGGUUAGUCAAAGGUCAGGAAAUACAGCCCGAUCAAGUGAGGCCGGAAAGACAAGCUAGUGGACUCGUCUGCCCCUUGUCCCUUUCCACCAAAUGCCUUAAACAAACCAAACCUCAGGUGCGCUUACCCCCAGAAAAAGCCCGUAGUAGUGUCAAGAGUUUCCUCCCAUUGGCUUUUAGCCGUAGAGGACCGCUCUCGAUUUGCUAGAGCUUUUUGUGGCUCCCUUCUAGGCUUUCCCCCUUGCCUCUAUUCCGCCUGCAGACACCCGGGACAAUCAUGCUUUUUUCUUUUGUGACGGGCUCUGUUUAUCACGACCGAAGCCUUUCAUAUCGGCUUUUUUAUCGGCCGGAUUCCCGAUUCGCCUAUUCGGUUCGAUGUCCUUUCUCCCGCCGAUUGAGCUCUGCCUGCCGACCAUCGCAUCUCAGCUUCUGGACUUGGAAUUGUUUCCUCAACCGGGUAAACGACUGCCUUUUACCCUUUUGACUCCGAAAAAUGGAUUCUGGUUCAACUGCUUGAACAACAGAAUGAAUUCUUGCUUGCUGGUGGUACUGCCUCUGAUGCAGCUAACUAUGACUCUAUCCACGAUGCUACUGUUUUCUAUCCGACCUCUGCAGGCGAUGGAUCUCACUCAUCGGAAUCAGGAUCUCGUUACCGAGGUAUGGAUAUUCGAAAUGAGAAAAAAAUCAUCGGCUGGAUCAAUGGCUUGGAACAGAAGGUAUGCUGCAAGCUCUGUUGCCGGUUCGAAUAAGGGUAGUGAACAAGAGCAUCUGCUGGUGAAACUACUGCUUAUGCCGGAUCUGGCCCCUCUACCUUUUAUCUGAGACGGUGAUACGCCUACCUUUUCGUCUACUCUUUUGCUACAGCGUUACCUACUUGAUGAGCUUUUCACUCUAUAAGGCAUCAAAGGCAAAAGAUCAUUGAACUUUAAUUCGAGAUGAAAAUAAGAAUACUGUCAACAUUGCUCUCAUAUCACGUCCAGAGUCGGAUUUAAAUACCUCUUCAGUAGCAGGCCGAUAAUAAGUCUGGCCAUCGAAGGCUUACCCAACUGCUCUGGAUUACUGAUCAAGUGGCUUUGAGAAGGAGAGAUUUAAAUCAAAAGAAAAUGGCCUAUUUGAGAUUUUCAGGUUUCUUUUGUUUGGGAAUGAAAUGAAAAACCGUAUUGUAUUUUGCAUCUUUUGCCAAACCAGUUCCUAUCUCUUCCCUUUCCUAUCUCGAAUUGACUAUCUCUCGGCGAUUGGCCUUAGUAGACCGGUUUCAAUUGGAUAACUCGAUUGAGACCGUCCUUUGCCUGUUCUCCCAGUCAGUAAUUUCAUUCCUUGCAAGUAUAUAAUUUUUGAGAGUGAGAGUGUCUUGACGGCAUUCAGUUGAUUAUGAGUUCAUUGAAUGAAAGAACGUUUCGAGACUUGUGGAUUACCUCACUGAGAUCACUACUAAAAGAAAGUCUUAUUAGGGCGCUUUUCCGGGAUUGCAGGUCUAAGCCUAUAAGGUAAGCUAUCUGUAAAGAGCAGGAGUCGCUUAGCAAGCACAGUCUCUUUUUCCCUUUCGACCGCUUCCCUCAAAUAAAGAAAGUAUGGGCCUUUUCCAAGUUUUGUUUCCAGUCUAUUAUGCCAAUUGUUCUCACCUUCUUCAACCUUUUCUCGAAUGAAGUGAUAGUUAAGUUCAAUAGGUUUUGUUCUUGCGUGAAAAACCGGAUUAGACGAGAGUUUCAUGGCACUUUGAUUAUCGCAAUCUAAUUUUGAUGGUCCAACAAUCAUUCCCAUUUUUUUUAGGAUAUGCCUUUACCAUGUCAGCUCAGCUACAGUGGCUGCCAUUGCUCUAUACAAAGCUUCUGCAUUGGAUCGAGCUACGGUACGUUGCUUUUUACUGUUUCAUGAUAAAAAUGAAUCAACAAAUGUGAUGCAAUACCCACUGACGGAUCUCUGGUGUCUGGAUCUCCAGCCCAAGAAAAUCACUAUCUCUGGCUCUGGCACCGAGUAAUUUCAUUUUCAAUUGCUCGAUAGACGGUGACGGGGGUACGACUUGAGAAUUGACCCAAGAUUCUCUGGGGUACCAGUUUACAAAUACGGGAAGGAAGGAGGUAUGGGAUGCAAAGUCUCAUUCAAAAAUCGAUUUUGGGGUAUUUCCGUGUUAGGAGCAAGCUACUUCUAGCCUCUAGUCCAGAGCUAUUUCUUUCGCCUAUAGCUGCUUUAUUACCUCAAUACCUACUCACUAUAGGUAUUUUUUUCAUUACAUGUAUGAUACCACUCUAUAGACGAGAUAUCAUUGGUAUUGCCUCCAUAUCCGGUACAUUCAACAACUAAGCUGAAUUUUUUCUUACUAAAAAGCCUUGUUGAGUGCGGGGGAACGAAAGGAGGUGGAAUUUUUGAUGAAGGUUGAAUCGUCGAUCGAAUUCAGGCUUUCUUGCUUCUCCGGUGGGGACCUCUCCUUCUUCAUUUCUAAAAGCCGGGAACGAAUCAAUAUCAGUAGUUGGGAAGUAUAAACCCCGGCUAUCUACUAAGAGCUACUAGGAGCUUACUAGCUAUCUGGGUAAUGCUCUAAACCGUCGAAUCACAACAGCCCUUGCCCUUGCCAUGCAACUGCUGCAGAGAUGGGCUUUUUCUAAUCCGGUUGGAGCCAAUCCUACUCUAGGCUUUGAUUGUCCCUACUGGCACCGCAACUUCUUGUUCCCGUUCUCGCCCGAUUUCGAAAGGACGUGGGUCCGGUCGAGCCACUGAACACCAUAAGGAGGGAAUACAGACGACUCGAAGAAGUUGGUUUUUUUCGAGGGAGAAGAAUGACAACUAGACCUUAACACAGGAAAGGGAUAGAGAGAUGGAUGUUCACCCAACCUGAUUGAAAUGAAUCAGAGUAUGUUCACCCCAAUAGUGUAGCCAGCCAUAAAAUCAAGGCUGACGCUCGAUCGGAACGGAACCAAGGAGGUCGUGUUGCGUAACGAGACUACAAGAAAAGAAUGAAACUAGAAGUUGUUGGCAACUAGUGAACCCGGCGGUUCAGCCGGGUGAGAGGUAGAUCUUCCCAUGGGUUCGGACUUGAAGUGAAUCCGAUGGAUGUUCUUUCUUUCGAGAAGACUGCUUUUCGUGGAGGGAGAUAAGCGGAUACUUGCUUGCCAGUAUGUUCGGUCUGCGGUUUGGUAACGACUGGGUCUACACCCUAUGUCGUGCAUCGUUCCGCUCGCCGGAUCCGGCCGGUAAGAAUUUUGCAUGGUCGUUCGCGUCUCUUGGCUAAACUCGAACCCGUUCUGAACGAUCCAUCCAUUUUUCAACUGGUUUCCUCCUUUCUGAACUUGUCUAUUCUUGAUGAGGACGGAAGAGAUUGGUCAGCAGAGGCUGGGGUACCGGCUGUAGGCCUUCUCGCCAGCGUCUUAUUCAAUUUCUAUUUAGAUUACUUUGAUCGAACAUUCAUCAACCGCUUUCCGCAUCUUCCUUUUGUUCGGUAUAUCCAUGAAAUAAUUGUUGCUGUUCCUCUGAACCUGAACAAUCAAGAAAGACUUUCUUUCGAGUAGAUCAAAAAUCUCUUGAGAGAGCUGCAUCUUUCUGCUAAACAAAUUUACAUAGUUCGAGGGGGCUUCCCAAUUUCCUGUCUUGGUUGUUUCUUAUCUGUUGACGAAGGGGGUUUAAUCCACUUUGUGGAGAAGGAAGAAUAAAGAAAGAUUUUCAAAUGUUAGUUUAAAAGAUUUAAACAUCAUUUGUAGUACCAUCUCUUGUAUGUCGAUUUAGCACAAACCAAUGCCUUAAGCCUUGGAGAAUUUAUAGUUUGAUUAUUUAUAAGAUAUCAUAUACUCUUUGAAAGGUGCACCAUAUCUAAUUCUUUAACGAAAGAUUAUAACACUCAAGUGGUCGCCCCUUACUCUAUUCCUUUCUAAGGUCAGGAAUAGCGGUCUUAGCUAGCGUUUCUCUUAUCUUUCAAACGCGAAGCUUCUAAAAAGUCUUUUCACGAGAGUUGUGAGAUAUUAAGCUACUAAGCUACACCCUUUUUAGUUAUAGGAUACAUUUGAAUAGGAAAAAACUGAUUAUUCCAAGGGGGAUGGACAUGGACCUAUGGAAGUGAUUCCGACCAAGAAAAAGAACACUUUUUUAAAGCACAGGGCUAUAGAAAAGGGCCGGUAGGGAAGGUGCGAUUGAGCGACCGUCUGUAGCUGAACUUGCCUCUCGGAAGGAGUCUAGAUCCGUCUUUAGCUGGACUCUCUCGUUCUUCCAGUUUCCUUCGAUUCUGUAAAUGAGUCAUCUGGACUCCUCAGUCUUGUUGGUAGCCCGUAGUUCCUUUUCCAGUCUCAGGGAGGGAUUUAGAUAGAACCGAUUCAACAACAUAGGAAAAAACUUGAUCUUCAAAGGAGGUGGGAAGGGCUUUCAUCCCAGACUCAUUCUUCUAGGUCAAAUUCUUUUCCUUCAAAGAGGGCUAGGUCUGGUCUAGGGUCACUCGACCUGGAAACAACAGUUUUUCCUAAAUCUAAAUAGGUUCCUUCUGCAAACUGAGAUCUUUUUCCAAAGGUGGUUGAUUCGGGAAGGGAAUGAAAUGAAUCUGAAGCAGCAGAUACCACAGGAGAAUCAGCCGAUAAGGAAUAUCUUUUUUUUUAAAGAAAGGGAACGAGUGGAGUAUACGAAGCGAAAAGGGAAGGUGAGAGGGUAAGAUAAAGUUGAGAUAGGCUCGUAAGAAAGGAUAGGCUCUCCGCCGAUCCUUAUUGGGUAGGGAUAGCUCGCUUAAGGAAGACUACCUUUGGCGCUAAAUAUUCCUUCAUUCUGAGGGAAGUGCUAUUCAAUUGACCAUGGGGUUCUACCCUUCCUUACCGAAUUCAUUCUAUGCGAAAGAGUCUCGCGCCAGGAGCGCUGCUGUAACCAGUUCUGAUCUCAAGCACCUAACCUUUGUUGUGAGGACUUAUUCGCCAUCGGCCGGUAAUACCCAAUUCGCGGAAAGGGAGGGCGCCUUACUAAAUAGGGGCACUUAGCUUUCCCACAGAGGUCGGUGGAGAAUGCCAGAUCUUCAAAUUAUUCAGCCGAAAAGCGAUAGCUAAGGGCAGUAGAGAAGAAAGAUAGGGCAUUAGCAGCUUCAACUCGAGAAGCAGCAUCCCCAUCCGAAUCCGAAUCCGCUGAAGAGGAGACCUUUUGUCUCUUGAGUUCAUAGUUCAUUCCACUCAACAAGCUGACCCAGCCUGAAGGAAGGGGUUUUCAUCCUAUAGCCGACUCUCCUGUUGAGUUUUGUCUUUCGAAUUUAGCUUACAAUUGAGGUCAGUGAGAAGCUUGUAAGUUUUGCCUUAAGCUAUAGGGCUCCCUAGGGGGAUGAGGUGGUCGUACCGCUUCUGGGACCACGAUAUGCACCACCAGGGGCUGUUUUUCCGACAGGAGUUUGAUACCUUGACUCCUCCCGCGGGUAAGCUUGUUCUUCUGCGAUAUUUCCUUCUUCGUUUGCGUGGAUGACCGAUUGAUGCUAUGUGGAUGUAGGUCACCUAGAGACCUUUUGGAGAUAGGCCUUACGCUGCUAGGCCAGCUGUAGCUAUAUCUGAUCCGUACUUCCUUGUCCGAGUGGAGCUGACUGGACCACGUCGAGUGGUACCUGGGUGAGAGAGUGUUACGGCAGUUUCGGUAUUGUUAUUGAACUGAUUGAAUCUGGUAUUGUUAGUAGGAAGUGGUGAUAGAUAGCAGGAGGUAUUGCUUACUUACCUGAUUCCUUUCUGAGGCCGGUCCAAAGAGGAGCUAGCAGAACAAUCGACACAAGAGAAGGAGUCUCGAGAGCAAACUAUCUCAAGGAGACGACCAAAGGAAGAGGCCCUGCAAGAAAGGCAAGAAGUGCAGAACUGGAUGAUCAAAGUGAUGCUUCUACGCUGGAGAAGAGAGAGAGAAGGCACGAAAGCUGGCCGAGAAGAGAGGUCCUGCCAUGGAUAGGCGUAACCUUUGGCAUGAGAUUGAUCAACUAAGCCUGGCUAUUUUCACCCUUUGGCUUAAGGUAGCGGAAAGCUUACCCACUCCGUUGUCUUAGCAUGAAUAAUUAUUGAUUCAGCUCCAGACCGGAAUUAUACCGACUCUCGUUCAUAAGGGUAGCCUCCCCUGCUCGUUUUCAACUAUCCGUGGUGUUGGCUUUGAUUGCCCCUACUCUUCUCUUGUCCUCAACCCUCGAAAGAAAAGAUCAAACUCGUCGAAUCGAGGAUCGGAAUCGUACCUUCGGGCAAUCUCCGCUCUAGAUGGGAAAGGAACAUGCAAUAAAAGGCCUUUCUUCAGGUUUCCAUAGAAAAUAGUGAAACUAUAAAAUAAAUAGGCGCGGCACACAAAGGAGGUUGAGUGCGCUACCAUUCCUUUCAAAUGGAGGAAUGAAGUAGCAAAGAAUACCAAUAGUUGUUAUAAUACCAAACCAAGAAAAGUAAUACUAAUAGCCAUAGCCAAAGAAGAAGUAAGAUAAUAUGGGAGGCGAAAAGCCAAUUGGUAAUUAAUAAGUUCAAGACAGGGACACAACGGGAGGUGCAAUCCAUUUCGUGAAUUGGUAGGGGAGGCGGUACAAUGGAAUUUCAUUCAUUCAAUAUUGAUUCCCGUAGUUCGGGAGUUCAAGCCAGGCAAGGCACAAUAAGGGUUGGCGAACAUGGUAGGCACAUUACAAAUCAAUACACGAAGGAGCUCUCACACAAACACACAAAAACACGAGGGAAUCAAAAUAAAAAAAAAAGUAUUAGAAGGUAAAAAAAAUAUAUAUUAUAGAUAGAAUCUAGGGAAGAAAGAAUAGGAGUUAAAGCAGUAAAUCUGGUCAACGGUAUAUAUUUUUUGUUUCGUGAGUGAAUCUCGUUCAAUUGGCAAUUUAUCGAUUUUCGUUUUUUUUAGUCUCUUACCUCUUUCUGAUCUACGACCACCCUUACUUGUUUUGCUAGCGAAGUAAAUCGCUGUGAUUAGCAUUCCAAGAAGUAGGAAUCCUGGCUUUCAAUAUCCCCAUCCGUCCAUCUCUUAGUUCUUCUGCCUUUCUUCGGUCAUCGGGAAUCCCACUUUCUCAAUCAAUCUGUCGUAAGGGCUGUAACUGGUAUGCUGCUCAUAAAGACUGUAUCAUAAAGACUUUCACUGUACCUGGCAUGGUAUAAUCUACUCAUAGACACUUCUCAUAGGCAUAGAUCUAACUCUAGCUUCUCUCCUUCACUUUCUGAGUCAUAUAGGAAGAUCUCUAUUGCCACCUGUGUCCUAUAACGCAUCUCUCCUUGCCACUCUAUCUAUAGCUAUAGCUUGUCCGUCCCAUCCAAGGAAUAGGGCGGCUUAUUAAAUCUCGCAUUCUCUUCCCGCGCCUUGCCUGGUUCUAGCAUCUCUCAUCUCUAUUGCCGAAGAGUAUAACAAGGUGGACGGAAAGCCUGAUUGCUCAAGUCAGUGUGGAUUCAAUAUCCCAAGGCCCCAUUCCCCAAUUGAUUAACUGAUUGCGCCAUAAAGACUAGAGUGCUAGACUGAUACAGGGAAUGCUUACUCUGCUAGGCUGGAUUCCUUGCUUGAAUCUGCUUCCUUGCUUCAUAUAGGCUCUCCUAUAGAAGAUCGCUUGAAGAGGGCUGAUUGCUACAGAAAAGAGGCCCACGAGAUGAACUCAUAACAGAAGAGCUACUGCUACAGGAAUGCUUUGCUUUAUUGCAUAUUCGACUGGAAGCGCACCGGAGCGCCUUGUACCUUAGCUGAGCUACCAUUCCUCUUAUCUCAUGCCCUUAUGCGCCACUCCUCUUUGCUUGAAAAAGCAAAUAUGACUUCGCUACCUUUCUCUGAGCUUCUAGGCAACAGAUCCUACUCCCUAAGAAGAGUCAUUAAGAGAGAGGAAUCCAUUUAAAGGAAUUCGUGCUGAUUGCCUAACUUCGGGUACUUUUUCAAGGCUCACACUACAACAAGAGUCCGAGCGACUAGAAAGAGGCUUGAAUAAAGAAAGAGAUUUGUACUGUUUGCGCUUACUUACCAAUCUGCUUAUUAACAAACAAACACAGCCAUGUUCGCUUACCCCCUUGCCUACCAAUGAUACAGGAAGGCUUACCUCAGACCCGAACCCCCUAUGAUUGCUUCCACUUGAAGAGACUUACUUGCGCCAUAAGUACUAGACUUUGAUAAAGGAAUGGGGAGGCGGAGAUAUUUCAUACUUGAAUGGUAAUCGUAAAAAGAUAAGAAAACCCUGCUACCGGAAAGCGCCUAUUAAAGAAGAGGGACUCGAUUAAAGGACUCAUACAAGACUUAUUCCAGACCUAUCCCUUCGCAUGCUUCUAAGGCUCAUCUCUUCGAUUGCUUUCUAGCUUGCUUGACUCUCCAUCCCCUCUUUGCUUUCUGGCAUAUUCGACUGAGCUACCCCUUUCCACUCUGGAACUGGCUUGAAGAAAUACCUAAACUCACUUCGCUACCUCUCUUCUGAUCUAAGUCCUCGCUCUUAGGCAAGAGCUUGAAGAGAGUGAUUUUGGAAGUCAACUUAAUCUUCCUAAAAUUUGAUUCGCUGGGAAGCACAUAAAGGAAGAAUAUGAGCACCUUACCCCUUAUUCAUUUCUUCCCCCGAUGCCCUUAUCCUUUUCACUCAGAAAGUCCUUUCACCCGAAGCCCCUAUGCUUGCUUGCUGUCUUCGGAAGAGGUAGUAGAAGUCCUUCUGCACUGCACUCUUUAACUAGAGGAUAGGUCGGCCUUACUCCCGUAUCUCUCUUAAAUUUAUAAAGCUCGGCGAGAAAGGGUUGGUUAAGAACUAUUGACUGUAAACCAUAGCAGUUACAGUCACUCAAUGGAGAUGUUCGCCUUUGGAAUGAAGAUGGAUGAACAGGCACGUCGAGCCUGGAACUGAUGAAAUUAGGGGAAAACAUGGAACCGGUCACUAUACUGGGGGGGCGAGACAUGACCGCGACUUAAGAUUCAAGUACCGUUGAAAAGACUAAAGGAACGGGGGGAAUGACUACCUGUAAUAAAGCACAGGCUAAUACGAGCCGACCAGAAGAAGCAAGGCUUAGAUUACCAGAUCCUGGACACAAUCUUCCUAGAGAUGGAGAGCCCCUUGCCUCGCCUUUUCUAGCCUCUCCUUCUUGCUUGCUUACCUAGCUCUUGUCUUAGUGACUCUUCCUCUUUUCUAGGUUUUUUUUCUGAGUGUUAAAACGGUAGAUUUUUCAUUUGCCAAUGAAUUGGAUCCGCCCCGAUUCGAUCAAAAAUGGGAUUCUUGGCUAGAGAAAGUUCUGUGACAUGGACGCCCAGCCCAACUCGGUCGGUCGGUUGACCCACCUAACAGAUGAUGAUAUUCUCGAUCGAUUUGAUCGAAUUUUGAAAAGUCUUUCUCACUAUUCAGAACAGUGGAGCUUUCGAUCAAGAUGUUCUCGCCUCCCCCGUUCGGGCUCUCGCUCGAAUCGGAACCCUUAUGCGUUGGUAGGCUUUCGACUCAAUCUAAUAGCCUACCUAUCGGGCGCCAAUAAAAAAAAGAGAAAAUUGUCGCAUGGGCUCAUCAUCUGAUGCAGAACCGAUGCGAGAGGGAUAAAAAUUAUGGGAGAAGCGGGGAUUGAUAGCUUUCAAGAACCAGUGGAAAGGAAAGAGAGGUCUAUGUCAAUUUAGGCCAAAAACUUCUCCGUAGGUCGUGGACUCGGGUUCUGGUUCUGGUGAACUACUCGUUUCACCUAAUGCUUAGCGCUACACUCCGCAUCCUAACGGAAGCCAUCACUUGUUAACGAACGUAUAGAAAGAAAGAUAUGUUCUCUCUUUUAAAAAGAGAUAAAUAUGGCGAGCAGGUGGUAUCGAUAUGGUAUCGCAUGUGACUCCUCUGUCGAUGAAUGUUCAUUUAUUGUACUCCAUCUAUAUGAUAUGGCAUUAGGUAUCGUAUAGAUCGAUAUUCAUGCUUGCCUAGCUCAUGGGCAAAGGAGGUAAUGUCAAUUGUAGCACUUCCAGAGUCAACUUCCCACGUACUCAAGGGCGUCCCCAAACCCUUUCCUUCGGACCAAGUCGUAGAGUUCCCAAAGGAAACCGUACCUAAAGAGAAUACUCUCCUCAGGACGCUUCUUCCAGUCCCUCAUAACAACCGGUACCUCGAACAGAUCCUGAAGUUUCGGGUCUGUGUCUAGGACGACCGUGUGGUACCAAUGGACAUACCUUAACCAGUCCUUCAUCCAAUUAUAGAAUAAAGUCCUUUCAAGGAUCCAUAUUUCCCAAAAAAAAAGUGAGAUUGUCCGGAGAGAGAGUGAAAUCCCGCCCCUGCUAGCUAACAUAGAUAUCUAUUCUCGGUGCGCAUAUUCUUUAUUUAGAAUCUCUUCCCGACCAGGCCAGGCUUCGCAUCAAUGACGGAAUCGGUCAUCGGCAACUUUUCUGAGUCUUUCCGUCUGAAUAUCCCGCCUCCAAGCAUUUCCUCACGCACAGGCCUAUGGGCUUAAGCAAGCCCCUUAAGAAAAGUCUUUCAUUUCUUGUUCGAGUUUCGUUAGCUGAACAUCAUUUCUCGUUACUUGUUACGGUUGGUUUGGUUGAGUCCCGGGUUGCCUAUUUGACUACCAGUCAAUGAAUGAUUGAUUGAUUAGCAACGAGAAAACACUUUUUAGGCUAGUCAGGUGUACGUACUUAGUUCACGGUCGAUUGAUAUUCAUUUGUAUUAGCCGACUGAACAGAACAUCAAGGUGACAGGAUUCGAACCUAUGGCCCUCUGUACCCAAAACAGAUGCGCUGACCAGACUGCGCUACACCUCGUCUCCCCCCCGGAACAUAUAGAUCCACCCGAUCGAUAAACACUCGAACCGAACUCGCCCACCCCGCUUUGGGCACAGGGACGCGAGAACCACCGCUUUUUGGAAAUCUGCCUCCAAGCCUCUUUCAUUCACUUUCAUUUCUUCCUUCAUCCGGCUUGCUCUCGGCUACGUGUCCUUUGGACCAAAAGCCCGCUUAGAAGUGGAUUCGAACCACUGACACAAGGAUUUUCAGUCCUUUGCUCUAACCUGCUGAGCUACCUGAACCACUUUCCUAAAGUCUCUUUUCUUCAUCUAUGAGCGCCCUACCAGCAGUGGAGGAGCUUGCUCAAGAACCGAGAGCCGGCCAGGGACUGGACGGCCCUCGUUCGGUCAGGUGUUCUUCGCUAUAGACGCCACCAAGAACAAGAAAGAGGCGCUCCGCUCCUAGUCACUAAGUAGUGCUAUUCUGUCCUCCGGGGGACUCCAUCAAGAAGAGGUUCUUUCUCUCACGUAAUUUCGCCCGCCCGUUCCACUUCCGUGCCGGAGGAAAUGGGAUUCGAACCCAUGAUACAAUCUUCUUGUAUGUCGAUUUAGCAAACCAAUGCCUUAAGCCACUCAGCCAUACCUCCAAGUUGUUGAUCGGAAUUGGAUGUGCCGGGUUGGGUUGGUUGCCCGAAGAUCCGAUUCACUGCGCAAGCCGUAGCGCGCGUACUCUUCUUUACUGAGCGAGACAGACUCUAUCCAGAUCUAUGGAUCUCCCCAGCAUCCAAGCGAGACUCCAAAUCCGCCACUCGUUGGGCGACGCCUUGCUUUCUAUGAACACCUCACCACUGAAUGAUGAACUUAGCCAGUCUUCGCCUCCGACCCGACCAGGAGAGAACACACGGUCAAGCCAAGCCGCCCUUCCUCACCUGCCUGAAUGGAAUUCAUAUCUCCUUCGUCUAGUCGAGAAGGGAAAAAGCCCGGCGGGGAACUGGACCGUGACUCUUCUAAACCAUUACAUUACGGAGAAGUCCAUUCUCGUCAUGAUCGAUCCACGUCCUACCAUAGUGCCCGGAGAACCAGGCUUGCUUAGCUUACCAAGCUAGCUUACUAAGCUAAGCGCGAAGGAAUUUAUCUAAGAUUGCACGAGCUAGCCAGAAGGUAGCGUAGCUUGCUUCUAGAAGAUUCUAUAGUGAUCCACUGGAAUCGGCCUCGGGUGACGCCUCCCUGCUC